UACAGAGGUCUCGAGCGUUAGGCGGAAUCACUGGGCUUAAAGCGUGUGUAGGCGGAUCGUUAAGUGCCAUGUGAAAUCCCACGGCUCAACCGUGGAACUGCUUGGCAUACUGGCGGUCUUGAGCAACCUAGGGGCGAGCGGAACAAAUGGUGGAGCGGUGAAAUGCGUAGAUAUCAUUUGGAACGCCAAUGGUGAAAACAGCUCGCUGGGGGUUUGCUGACGCUGAGACACGAAAGCCAGGGGAGCAAACGGG
rnacentral:rRNA from 1 species